rnacentral:rRNA from 1 species
UACGUAGGGUGCAAGCGUUAAUCGGAAUUACUGGGCGUAAAGCGUGCGCAGGCGGUGAUGUAAGACAGGUGUGAAAUCCCCGGGCUUAACCUGGGAACUGCAUUUGUGACUGCUUCGCUGGAGUGCGGCAGAGGGGGAUGGAAUUCCGCGUGUAGCAGUGAAAUGCGUAGAUAUGCGGAGGAACACCGAUGGCGAAGGCAAUCCCCUGGGCCUGCACUGACGCUCAUGCACGAAAGCGUGGGGAGCAAACAGG